GGAGUCCACGUUCAGGGUUCUGAGAACUGUUCUGACUUCCAAGAUGUUGCCACACCUCCUGGGAAGCCAGUUGUAUCCACAUCCUACCUUCCUGCCUUAGUGUGGUAAAAAAGAGUGAGAUCUGGGAAGCCACUGGAUCUGAAAACCAAAGCAUCUCAUUUCUGGGUCAAUGAAGAGAGAAGAGCAAGGCAGCUAAUCAAUUCAGUCUUCAUAACCAGUGGGGGG
rnacentral:lncRNA from 1 species